CCGCAGGCUCCCGGGCCAGGCGUGCAAGGCCCCCUCUCCUGCCAGGGCCCAGGACGCUGCGGGCCCCAGCGGAGGGGAAGGGGACUAAGUAGGGGAAGAAGCUGUAAACAGCCCCAGCGUCCGGGCCUCGCCUCGAAGAGCCGCGCUUCCCAGGCCCAGCCGCGGGCCGCCCAGGCCCCCAGCCUGCCCCGGGGCCGCCGCGCCCGGGGUCCGGGACACCGGAGGGGAGUCGGGUCCCCUCCCCGGAGAGCUCCGGGAGCUCGCGGAGCGGCCCCAGGAGCAGAGAAGGGGGAAGUCAGGACUUACCUGUCAUUACUUUCUACGCCAUCUUGGAUCCACUUGUCAACGUCCCCACAAAGCAUUAUGGGCUCUCCCACGGAGCACCCUCUGCUGACUCUGCAGCCCCGCAGGCCUUCCUCGAACAGUCCAUGACAGGAAGCCAGGCUUCCUGGGGUCCUGAGUCAGCAGAGCAGGAAGGAAACAAAGGCCUCAGAACCGCAGAAGAGAAAGAAGGCAGCCUGAAGACAGAAGGCGACCCUCUGAAGACAGGUCUAGAGACUUAACGUAUGAUGUUCCUGGAGUCCUGUUGCCUGUAAGGGAAGCACAAACCCUGAGUUGCACUGUGUCCUCUGACCUGUCUGAUCCCAGGUACCUCUUCAGUAGAAAAAUUCAAUAAGGUUUCUGACACUUUCUACCUAUGGGCCAGUUACAUACAGAAGAGAAAACUGAAACUGAAAACUGGUUUGUCAUUUUUACAGAAAGUCACUGCAAAGAAGGAGAAUUCCAAGUGCAAAUGACUUGAGGUGUUGAAUUGAGAACCAGGCAGAUCCACCACCUACAGUAAAGAUGACCCUAAAGUGAAUUGGUUGAAGAAAUUAGAUCCCAAAGAUUCUUGGUGAAUUUUCAAGUCUUCAUCAGUAUAUCCAUAUUAAAAGGAGAUGACAGAAGCCAAAAUAAAAGAAUUAUGGGCUGACGGGACAACUGGAUUAAAAUAAGCAUCAGUUUCGUUAAAAAGGGCUAACUUGAAGAUAAAUCUUUUGACUCCAGCUCUUUAGAGGAUCUAAAGUGACCCUGAUGGACAGUGGAAAAAAUCACAACAUGGAAUCCCUUGGAUAAAAAUCUAUUGACUUUGAAUAAUUU
rnacentral:lncRNA from 1 species